GGCAACUUGGCCGAGUGGUCUAAGGCGACGCACUCAAGGAUUACCCUUCCCCUUCGGAAAACAGGGGCUGCAUUGCGUUCUCGCAAGAGGCGUGAGUUCGAAUCUCACAGUUGUCA